UGAGGAAUAUUGGUCAAUGGGCGGGAGCCUGAACCAGCCAAGCCGCGUGAGGGAAGAAGGCCCUAUGGGUCGUAAACCUCUUUUGUCAGGGAACAAAAGCGAGUAUGUAUACUGGUCUGAGUGUACCUGAAGAAAAACGCAUCGGCUAACUCCGUGCCAGCAGCCGCGGUAAUACGGAGGAUGCGAGCGUUAUCCGGAUUUAUUGGGUUUAAAGGGUGCGUAGGCGGCGGUGCAAGUCAGCGGUAAAAGCCCGGGGCUCAACCCCGGCGAGCCGUUGAAACUGCAGUGCUAGAGAAGGCGAGAGGUACGCGGAAUGCGCAGUGUAGCGGUGAAAUGCUUAGAUAUUGCGCAGAACUCCGAUUGCGAAGGCAGCGUACUGGCGCCUGACUGACGCUGAGGCACGAAAGUGUGGGUAUCGAACAGGAUUAGAUACC
rnacentral:rRNA from 1 species